rnacentral:lncRNA from 1 species
GAGGGUGCUGGUGUGGGUGUUAUGACCCAAGUGCCAGGCUUAUGCUGCUUUCCACGUCUGGAGAAGCAUGAUUUAGAUUGCUCCAUGUAUUUCAUAGUACUUUUGCAAUGAGUAUAUACCAUGUGUUCCUUGUAUCGUGUAGCUCGUAGCGUUUUAAUACAGGUACUUUUCACAUUGGUACUCUGGGGACCCCGAUGCGCCUUAGGCUGCACAGGGGUUU